AUGCUGGGAACUUGUCACUGUCGCCAUCUAGCAGGGGUCCUUGUGUCAGUGACGAUGCAAAUGAACCUGAGACAGCAACACAAAUUUACAGGCAAAUGUUUUGUUGCAAAACUUAUUACAGAAAAGGAGCAAUGCUGGCUGUCCGAUAGGCAGCCCCAGGGAGGGAUGGGGACCUUAGCUCCUUCUCAGUUUGCAGGGCCUCAAAGGAAUGUCAAUAACUGCUCAUGUUUUCUCCAAAGGGACAGGAAUCUUUGGACAAGAUAUAGUUCAGUUCCUGUGGAGGCUGAGAGCGUCCCCAGAAGUGCUUAUAGAGCCCAGAAAGCUAUAUACACUUCUCCCUGCCGACUCCACAGGCACUGGGCACCCUGGCUUGUCUAUGAGACUUCAGCUCAGACAGUGCUUCCUUCGGGAAACUCUUCUGAACCUCUCCAGGUAGUAUGUGGUGCUUUUCCUUUAAAAAAAUGAAAAAUUCUGUGCCUGAUCUGUCUGGGCUUCAAACACCAUGACCUUGGGAUUGUUGCUGGAAUCCAGCCUUAGCAUUGA
rnacentral:lncRNA from 1 species